CACUACCAUCUUGCUAUUAGUUUAACUUCAUUAGCUGUACAUAGUCUAGUUAUUUUAAUAAUUCUUUCUUUCAUAGCUGUUGAUUUCCUUUAAAUAUUUCAUUUGUAGCAGUAAACAUAUUAAGGAUAUUCAAGCUAUAACAUUACUUUGCCGUUAUUGAAAUAUGAAUCAACUUGAACAGAUGCAACUUGAAAUUUUUGUAGCAUAUUUGUAUGUGCAUGUGACACAUAUUUUCCCCUAAAGUCAUCUUGCAUUUUUAUGCCAAAGGUUUGUGAUGUAAAUUAGUCAUCUACAAAAAUGUAAUAAGUUAGAAAAUGCUUACUUUUUCAUAUUUCAGUAUGCUCUGAGAUGGAGAAGAACAUAAACUAAUAUUGAAUUACUGAAGGACCGUUAAUGUCUUCUACUGUCAUUGUCGCAAUUUUUUAUUUGUUCUUUACUUAUGUAUAUUUCCAGUAUAAUUUCAGUAACUGUUAAUGUGUAAGAGAAUAUCUGAAAAGUAAAAUUAAUGUGGUUGAAAGAAAAAUAUUAAAUUCUUGGACAGAAGCAGAAAUUAAUUUAAGAAGUUGUACCUGCCUAUAAACUAACUUGGUAAUAGAUGCAAAUAGUGAAUGCAUAUAGAGUUAAUUAUGUUAUGCAGACUGAAGUAAUCAGCCUAGUCAUGCUUCUGACCAUGAAAAUAGCCAUUAUGAUGGAAGAAGGGGGUCCACUUCCCAGCACAGACAGGAACUUUAUUUUCACUGCCAUGAUGAGAUUAGCUAUGUUAAGCUGAUAAUUCAUCGUAAUCUUGAACUAAGGUUAAGAGUGCAUUGAGUUUAACCUCCACUUUCUUAUGCAUUUUAUGGCAUUGUGCUUUGGCACAAGAGACAUUUUACAUUUA